UUAUAGAGUUUUCUAAACUCCCAACCCAUGUGAACUUACCUUUUGUUGCCUCGGCAGAGGUUACCUGGUACCUGGAGACAGGUUACCCUGAGCAACUGCCGGUGGACUACUAAACUCUUGUUAUUUUAUGUAAUCUGAGCGUCUUAUUUUAAUAAGUCAAAACUUUCAACAACGGAUCUCUUGGUUCUGGCAUCGAUGAAGAACGCAGCGAAAUGCGAUAAGUAAUGUGAAUUGCAGAAUUCAGUGAAUCAUCGAAUCUUUGAACGCACAUUGCGCCCAUUAGUAUUCUAGUGGGCAUGCCUGUUCGAGCGUCAUUUCAACCCUUAAGCCUAGCUUAGUGUUGGGAAUUUACAGUUAUGUAAUUCCUGAAAUACAACGGCGGAUCUGUGGUAUCCUCUGAGCGUAGUAAAUUAUUUCUCGCUUUUGUCAGGUGCUGCAGCUCCCAGCCGCUAAACCCCCAAUUUUUUGUGGUU
rnacentral:rRNA from 1 species